AAACUAACAAGGAUUCCCCUAGUAACGGCGAGUGAAGAGGGAAGAGCCCAAGAUUGAAAGCUGGCGUCUUCGGCGUCCGCAUUGUAAUCUCAAGAAGUGUUUUCCGCUUCGGACCAUGCCUAAGUCCCUUGGAAAAGGGCAUCAUAGAGGGUGAUAAUCCCGUACAUGGCAUGGAGCGCCCGAAGCUUUGUGAUACGCUUUCUAAGAGUCGAGUUGUUUGGGAAUGCAGCUCAAAAUGGGUGGUAAAUGCCAUCUAAGGCUAAAUAUUGGGGAGAGACCGAUAGCGAACAAGUACAGUGAUGGAAAGAUGAAAAGAACUUUGAAAAGAGAGUUAAACAGUACGUGAAAUUGCCAAAAGGGAAGGGUAGGAGGUCAGAGAUGCGGCCUGGGAUUCAGCCUUGCUUUUGCUUGGUGUUUUUCCCAGAUUGCAGGCCAACGUCGGUUUUGGGCACUGGAGAAGGGUAGGAGGAACGUGGCACCUCUCGGGGUGUGUUAUAGCCUCCUACUGGAUACAGCGACCGAGACCGAGGACAGCAGCGUACUCGCAAGAGCGGGCCUUCAGGCACCUUUACGCUGAGGGCGUUGGCAUAAUGGCCCUCUACCACCCGUCUU
rnacentral:rRNA from 1 species